GACGAACGCUGGCGGCGUGCUUAACACAUGCAAGUCGAACGGAAAGGCCUGCUUUCCCUUGUGGAUUGCGGGUACUCGAGUGGCGAACGGGUGAGUAACACGUGAGUGAUCUGCCCCCAACUUGGGUAUAAGCCUGGGAAACUGGGUCUAAUUCCCGAUAGGACUGCAGGGUGGUGCCUGUGGUGGAAAACGAUUUUCUAGUGGUUGGGGAUGAGCUCGCGGCCUAUCAGCUUGUUGGUGGGGUAAUGGCCUACCAAGGCGGCGACGGGUAGCUGGCCUGAGAGGGUGGACGGCCACAUUGGGACUGAGAUACGGCCCAGACUCCUACGGGAGGCAGCAGUGGGGAAUAUUGCACAAUGGGCGGAAGCCUGAUGCAGCGACGCCGCGUGGGGGAUGACGGCCUUCGGGUUGUAAACUCCUUUCGACCGCGAGGAAGCCACCUGGUUGGAAGGGUGGUGACGGUAGUGGUAGAAGAAGCACCGGCUAACUACGUG
rnacentral:rRNA from 1 species